rnacentral:lncRNA from 1 species
AAGAUCGAUUUCCUGUCCGCAAUCGAAGAACGAACAAGAAAAAGAGGCGAGCAAUCUAAAUAUCACUCGAAGGUGGAGUUCUGAAUCACACAAGGACAGCACGUAUUUGCACGUGUUCGAAAGUAGCUAAAGCUAGAUGUAAAACAAAACUCAAGUCUGGAAAUAAACAUAGACUCUAUCUAAAUAGAGGAGAGGAGGGGGCGCAACCCCUAGCGGCCAAGAGGGGGCGUGUGACCAGGAGGGGCGCGCGGCAAGGAAAGGGGCGUGCAUGCCCCUGGCGCCCAACCCUAGGCGCCCACACAUGGGCCUCCUGUUGGGCCAGCUUCUAUUCUUCUGGGCCUUCAUUCUUUAGUAGCAUGACGAAGGUCAAUUCUCUCGCACGGGCCCGGGUAAUUGGCCCAGAAGGUGGCGCCUGGGGUGGAGGAUCAUCUGGUGGCGCUGGAGAAGGUGCUGCUGGUGUAGAUGUGUCCGUGUUGUAGUUGGUGUCCUCAUCAUCCUCCCCUUCUUGAACUGAAGUCGUCCUCG